GCUAGAAGUCCCUGUUAGGAGUCACCAUGAUUCUUAGGAAGGUCUGAGACGGAACAUAUAAAAGUGAAAUACUAUACAAUUAAUGUUGUAGUUCUCUUUAAUAGAAAAUAGCAUCCUCGAUGAGGUUUCACUAUUUAGUGUAAAAUUUUAAAAAAUAUGCUUGGAAAAUAGAGAACGUUCCAUUAUAAAAUUAUUUAUAAUUUUAUUUAGUAGUGUAAUACAGGGAAUUCUGGUAGCAGAACAACUAAAUUCAGACUACUCUUUAGC
rnacentral:RNase_P_RNA from 2 species